rnacentral:rRNA from 1 species
UACGUAGGGCGCAAGCGUUGUCCGGAAUUAUUGGGCGUAAAGAGCUCGUAGGCGGCUUGUCACGUCGGGUGUGAAAGCCCGGGGCUUAACCCCGGGUCUGCAGUCGAUACGGGCAAACUGGAGUGUUGCAGGGGAGACUGGAAUUCCUGGUGUAGCGGUGAAAUGCGCAGAUAUCAGGAGGAACACCGGUGGCGAAGGCGGGUCUCUGGGCAACAACUGACGCUGAGGAGCGAAAGCGUGGGGAGCGAACAGG